AUGGGCUCCCGGGUCACCUACUGGGUGGCCCUCUGGCUCCUGGGGGCAGUGUCCUUUGAGGACCGCUUUAGUCCUGUUGUUAUCUCUGAUCUGCAGAACAUCGUGUCAGCUUUCCAGCUCAACAUCCUCACCCUGCAUUCCACAGACCCACAGACUCAGCACGUGCACUGCGCCUGUGCCAUUCUGCUCGGGGAGCCUCUCAGGAGAACCCGGGGACAGAGCCUGGUGCUCCUGACUUAUUUCCAGGAUGAAAAUGAAGCAGACAAAUCGGGGAUGCCUGACGAUCGGUUCUCUGCGGAAAGGCCUAAGGGGGCGUCUUCCACGCUGAGGAUCCAGCCUGUGGAGCCAGGGGACUCGGCCGUGUACCUCUGUGCCAGCAGCUUAGACACAGCGUCGCAUGGCCACCUCCUUCCUGUGCACAAACCACCUACUCCUCCUCUCCCCUUGCUUCUCCUAGAAGCCUGA